rnacentral:lncRNA from 1 species
AACAAGCAGCAGCUGCUGGGGAGCAGGAGAUUAUUUAGGUGGGCUUCCAGGGGCAUCCUGUAACUGUAGGGUUGAGCUUGUGGGGGCUCUGCUUGGGGUUGUUUGCUGCCUUUGGAUGGGGCUCCUGUCCUGGCUCUCUCUGUCAGAUCUCACUUAGCUACCAGUCCACCCUUGGAUUAUGGGAACUGGUGAGGCCAAGCAUUGGGAAGACACCUUGUCCCUCCUCAGCUUUGCUUCACCACGUGGUGCCAGAUAGGAAGCCUGUUUAGCGAUGUCACUUGUUCCUGCCUUCCCUGGGUGAGGGUGCUCUGUGUGCAAAUGGACAAACACUUCCAUUUGCAAAGGUUCACCAUGUGUUGUAAGCAGAGAAGAGCCAAAGCUUUGGACACUGUCUAUGAAUCUGUGUUGCCACAGAAGUCACUUCUGUCUGCAUGUGCAGCAGUUACACUUCUAACUCAGCUGUCAGAUCUUUCAGAUAUUAUUAACCACUGUGGAAAGCAUAAUGUUCACAGCAGUAUACAUGAACUUUUAUGGGAUCAAAUCCAUUUGCAAUUCUGGAUCCAAAACCUCUCCUGAAAUUGGACUGCUGCCUCAAUAGAGUGGGCAAGAAUGUAGGCAAGAUGAGAGGAGUCGCUCUUUCUGCUGCUGGAUCAUAAAUGUUGCAACAGCUGGCUGUGCUGUCGUGUGCUCUGCAGCCACAUCCCCAGGCAAACGAGAAGCAGUUUGGCUCCAGCUCAUUCUCUAUCUAUAUGUUUAUAUUAUUGACUCUUACAGACGUAGACCUAUCUAGCUGCUUGAAGUUUACUUUUCAAUUUAUUAUAAUUUCAGUAUUUUAGUCAAUACCGAUCGCUUGUAUGACGACCCUGCCUAAACUCUGUAAUAAAAUGUAAACAACAGAAAGGUAUAUAGGAAGC